UACGAGGGGGGCAAGCGUUGUUCGGAAUUACUGGGCGUAAAGGGCGCGUAGGCGGCCUGCUAAGUCGAACGUGAAAUCCCUGGGCUCAACCCAGGAACUGCGUCCGAUACUGGUUGGCUUGAAUCCGGGAGAGGGAUGUGGAAUUCCAGGUGUAGCGGUGAAAUGCGUAGAUAUCUGGAGGAACACCGGUGGCGAAGGCGACAUCCUGGACCGGCAUUGACGCUGAGGCGCGAAAGCCAGGGGAGCAAACGGGG
rnacentral:rRNA from 1 species